GACGAACGCUGGCGGCGUGCUUAACACAUGCAAGUCGAGCGGUAAGGCCCUUUCGGGGUACGACGAGCGGCGAACGGGUGAGUAACACGUGGGUGACCUGCCCUCAGCUCUGGGAUAAGCCUGGGAAACCGGGUACGUAAUACUGGAUAUGACUCCAUGACGCAUGUUGUGGGGUGGAAAGCCUUGUGCGGCUGAGGAUGGGCCCGCGGCCUAUCAGCUUGUUGGUGGGGUGAUGGCCUACCAAGGCGACGACGGGUAGCCGG
rnacentral:rRNA from 1 species